UACGUAGGGACCGAGCGUUGUCCGGAAUCAUUGGGCGUAAAGAGCGUGUAGGCGGCCUUUUAAGUCCUGCGUGAAAUCCUGCGGCUCAACCGCAGACGGUCGUGGGAAACUGGAAGGCUAGAGUGCGGGAGAGGAGAGUGGAAUUCCCGGUGUAGCGGUGAAAUGCGCAGAUAUCGGGAAGAACACCGGUGGCGAAGGCGGUUCUCUGGGCAUUACCUGACGCUGAGGAGCGAAAGUGUGGGGAGCGAACAGG
rnacentral:rRNA from 1 species